ACGUGAACACAUCUCCUUUUUAAUUAGUGAUAUAAAGAACACUCCCUAGUGCCGCAGAUCAAUUAGGAUAUCUGCCAUCUCUCCAACAGUUGUUAGCCAAGGACUCGGGAAUGCCUUUGGAGGAUCCUUACUUGGACGGAUUUUGGACCGGUUUAGACUUAGCAAAAAAUUUUUUUUAAAUAUAAAUACCACUGGAGAUACAUUGGAAGGAACAGCAGAUUUCAACGGAAACAAAUUUAACCACAGGAGUGGUAAUUGGAAGGCUAAACCAUCCACAAUACUGACAAGGGUCAGCCAGGAUUUUAUUUGAUAAACCAGUAUACAUAUAUAUAGUAAUAUAAAAGCCUCAGGAAAGUUCGGUCUUGUACAGAGGCAUAGAUUCUCAAACAGAGUCCAACACCCUGAUGAAUCUUUAGAAGAUUACGUGUUGGCAGUCAAACUCCAAGCAGAGUUUUGUUCAUUCGGAUCGUUUAAGGAUCAGGCAAUAAGAGAUAGAAUCAUAAGUGGAAUUAGAGAUUACGGGUUACAACAAAAAAUUCUCAAUGAGGAUGAGGACCAUAGCGCAGAAGCAACUGAGAAAAUUAUUUUGACCUGGGAGAUGGCCAAAUCUAACGCUCGAUCAUUAGGAACGGCGGAUAGUACAAGAAAUUCAGUGUAUAUUAAUCCACAUUCAACCAGUCCUGCCUUACAGAAAAUUCUUAAAACAUAUGAAAGGUCUAAACAGGAUAGCCAAAGGAACAAGCCUGGCUUUUCAAGAGGACCAGUUAGAGAGAGGUUAGGGUUCAGGCCAUACGAUAAAAGGGAGCAAAGAAGUCAUUGGAACAGUCCAAAUAUUAAACCAGCUGAGUGGCGUAGGGGUCAAACACUGAAUAAGAAAAACCCAUAUAUUAUUUGCGAUUUUUGUGGAGUUAGCGGACAUAUAAAAAAAAAUGUUUUAAACUAAAAAACAUAAUGAGAAGCUCAGUUAAGUUUAUCGAUCAAUACGAAAAGCCGGGUCCAAGCUGCAACAAAAAUUUGGAGGAGAUUUUUAGGGAGUGGAGGACCAGCAAUACCGACAGCGAAGAUGACGAUGAAAGAGAUAAAGAUCACGAUUGGAAACGUGCCCAUUAUGGCACACCGCAGCCAACUUAAAGUGCCGGAUAGCAGGCUAGAGGGGCCAAGACUAGUGCCACUUCGGCGAUCGUUCGAGGGGACGAGUAAGACGACAGGACAUGACAACAGGGAAGAGGAAGAAGCGUUUAGGGGAUUUCCUGAACGAGGAUUGCCUAUCAAAGGCAAGAAACGAAAAUUACCAAUGGACUCAUUGGAAUUCAUACCUAGGCGUUCUAAAAGAUUAAAACGUUUAAAGAUAGAUAAAGAUUAUGUCUACAAUGGACAAACGAUUAAAACAAUUACUUCUUCUACUUAAAUUUAUAAUUAUUCGAUUAUUGUAAAUGUAACUAUUACCCUUAUUAUGAAUUUAUUAUUGUUAUUUAAUUUUUAAGAUGUUGCAAAACAAAAAUAUUAAAAAGGGAAUACGCCUCGAUAACAUAUCGAUCUCGCGUAACGGCUGUUACGCUCUCUGUGGAUAUACCUCAAA